rnacentral:rRNA from 1 species
AUGUCGGAUGCACCUCUUUACAAGCAGCUCCGCAGGUACACUAGGGAGCUCCAUGACGUCGACCUCCACGGCAACCACAAGCUCCAUGUUGUUUGCACAAGCAAUGGUGAAGACGUGGACAAGAUGUUGUCCACGCUUAGGAGGAAGCUCGGCGGAAUGCCUGUUAAACUAGUCGACAUUGAUGUCGAGUACAUGCACUACGUGAAGCCACAACGGGCAGCAGUGCUCUAG